rnacentral:rRNA from 1 species
UGAGGAAUUUUGCGCAAUGGGGGCAACCCUGACGCAGCAACGCCGCGUGAGUGAAGAAGGCCUUUGGGUCGUAAAGCUCUGUCAACCGGGAAGAAGUUAUGUGAGUCGAAUAGGCUUAUGUAUUGACGGUACCGGUGAAGGAAGCAUCGGCUAACUCCGUGCCAGCAGCCGCGGUAAUACGGGGGAUGCAAGCGUUAUUCGGAAUUAUUGGGCGUAAAGGGCGCGUAGGCGGUUUUGUCGGUCAGAUGUGAAAGCCCAGGGCUCAACCCUGGACGUGCAUUUGAAACAGCAAGACUUGAGUACGGGAGAGGAAAGCGGAAUUCCUGGUGUAGAGGUGAAAUUCGUAGAUAUCAGGAGGAACACCGAUGGCGAAGGCAGCUUUCUGGACCGAUACUGACGC